GUCGAACGCUGGCGGCGUGCCUAAGGCAUGCAAGUCGAACGCUCCAACUUCGGUUGGAGAGUGGCAGACGGGGGAGUAACGCGUGGGAACAUACCCUUCGGUUCGGAAUAACUCAGGGAAACUUGAGCUAAUACCGGAUACGUCCGCAAGGAGAAAGAUUUAUCGCCGAAGGAUUGGCCCGCGUCUGAUUAGCUAGUUGGUGAGGUAAUGGCUCACCAAGGCGACGAUCAGUAGCUGGUCUGAGAGGAUGAUCAGCCACAUUGGGACUGAGACACGGCCCAAACACCUACGGGUGGCAG
rnacentral:rRNA from 1 species